AUAUGGUCAAUAAGAUUCAUUUACACAGACGGAUAUCUACUUGCUGCCUCAACAAGUCAAAACAUGACCACAUAACACUACCAUGAUCACACCGGCUGAAGAGGACCCUAGUUGGUCCUAGAACGGCCUGAGGUAGAGGGGUUUUAGUCGGUAGGUCCGAGGAUUUCUUCCUCGGGAAUCGGACACUACCCAGUCGUACGGACGGCUGGGUGUCUUUUGAAGAUUUCCCCUCUUCCACGAAA
rfam:Agrilus planipennis Contig55555, whole genome shotgun sequence.